rnacentral:rRNA from 1 species
UACGGAGGGGGCUAGCGUUGUUCGGAAUUACUGGGCGUAAAGCGCACGUAGGCGGCUUUGUAAGUUAGAGGUGAAAGCCCGGGGCUCAACUCCGGAAUUGCCUUUAAGACUGCAUCGCUAGAAUUGUGGAGAGGUAAGUGGAAUUCCGAGUGUAGAGGUGAAAUUCGUAGAUAUUCGGAGGAACACCGGUGGCGAAGGCGGCCACCUGGUCCGGCACUGACGCUGUAGCGCGAAAGCGUGGGGAGCAAACAGG